rnacentral:misc_RNA from 1 species
UUAAGUUCAGCGGGUCUUCCUACCUGAUCCGAGGUCAACCUUGGGUAAAUAAGGCUUUUAACGGCGACGGACCAGCACGCCCUGAGCGAGAUGUAUUACUACGCUCGGAGUGACUAGCGAGCCCGCCACUGGUUUCAGGGCCUGCGGCAGCCGCAGGUCCCCAACACAAGCCGGGGGCUUGAUGGUUGAAAUGACGCUCG